ensembl:snRNA U6 U6 spliceosomal RNA
AUGCUCUCUUCAGCAGCACAUAUGCUAACAUUGGGAAGAUACAGAGAAGAUUAGCACUGCUCCUAUGGGUGACACACAAAUUUGUGAAGCGUUCGUAUUAAAA